GUAGAGAAGCAUGUGCGCACUACCGGUGGUGGAAGCCUGGUACUGUUAGGUAACUACUGCACUACUGCUCAGAAAAUAGAUUGCAUUCCUUCUAGAAUGUCAAGGAUGUAUUAGUGACCAAUUUAAACUUUGAUGGUAAAUUUUUAUGUUUCCGCAUGAAUUUGUGUAUCAGAGAAGACACAAAAUAUCUUUUGAAUCCCGAUGUCAACUCUACAUACUAUGAUCCAAAAACCCGCUGCAUGAGGGGAGACCCCUUGCCAGAUGUAGAUCCAAAAUGAUAAGUUCUACGUGGUAAUCAGCCAAAUAUAGUAUGUGGUCUGGAGUUCAUAUUUUUGCUACUUUUCUGGCGCGACGAUGUGGUGGAGGCGAUGGCAGGGCCUAGAACGGAUUAGUCGUCCUGCUCUGUGUUGGAAGUUAUGUGAAUUUUCUGCCUCCUAGCGCUAGACGGAUGAUUUUCUUCAGUUUGCCAACUCCUUGCCAUUGCUUUCUACUAUUGUUUGUUUAUUUUAGUGCAGCAACGGAGCCUAUGAAGAAGCCCUAUUUUCUAUUGUUGUUUGCCAACUCUAAGCAGAUCGCUCGCUGAAGAAGCCCACCCUCCUCGCUAUAGAAGGUAUGUGUUUAACAGAUAUGAAAUGUUGUUCUGAAAGAGCAUGGAACAACAAAGAAAAAUAAAAAUAAAAAAAGAAAGCACAAAGUCUGAACUUAUGAACUUCUGAAACCUACAGAUUAUUCUAAAAUUUCUAUUAAGUCUAAAAUUGUGAAAUUGUGAAAUUCGUGUUUAGUCUAAACUUCUAUAAUUCUGAAAGUCUACAGUCACCUGAACAUUGGCUGAAAGUCUGCAGCCACCUGAAAGUCUGCAAAUAAAGAAGCACAACUUCAUCUUUAGCCGACCACGACGAUGGCGACGAUGUCGUUCUCCAUCCCAGAUGCGCGGGAGAUCCCUGCGGCAGUGGGUCAGAGGGGAGGGCUGAGCUCUGCGCAGUGAUGGGAGGGAGUGGUCGAGGUGCUCGAAGCUCUCACUGACAACAGUGGGGGAGAGGAGGAUACAAGUUUACUGUGGCUAGGGGAGGAGAGCGGGAGAGGAGAGCCUAUAUAAUAGAAUUGGUAGCGACGCAUGGGCACCUAACUUUUUUAUAUAAUAGUGUUGAUUGACCUCUGGUUUGGCUGCUACACUUUGCAUUCAGGCUAACAAGGCAGAGAAUAAGAUUUCAUGGUACAUGUCUUGGAAAGAGGCAUAUCCUGCUGCCUUAUUCAGACAAUACAUAAACUACAGAUGCCAUGCAGAAGCCACCAACUUGCUGGUGGAGUAUCUAGAGUCGUUCGCAUUGACUACUUGAUCAUGUUUGUUUUUGCGCUUAUCCUUAUAAUAGGUGAGGACAUUAUUUAGAGUACUUGUCUUUUUCUGUAAAGUAGUGGCCAUUGGUCAACAAAAUAUUACCUUUGCCAAAGAAUUAGGAGAUGCAACUGCAUGUUGGUCACUUCUCUUUUUUUCCUUGAAAACCUGAAAGUUCAAUUUACUUAGAAACUAGAUGAAACACAAGUUGUUAUUUAUCCUCAAGUAGAUUAAUUACCACUAAGAUAACUAAACACCAUAUAGGUAUUCACCAAACAGUCACUGUAAGUCGAUAACUCUGAAGUCCAAAAUAAGGCAUGUUGUAGCAAGCAAUCAUUCAACUUUUUUACUGAUAUUAGUUCAGUUCUCACUAGCUGAUGGGCAGAGGUUUGAUCUAUGGUGUAAAUAGCUAUUUUUUCUUGUUUAUUGUGUAGUCGUGAUCUUGUUUUAUGCAAUCAUAUGUACUUACCAUUUUGCAUCUUUUGAGGUGCAGAUCAGUGGAGUGCACUCAAAACUGAGAAUUUUUUCCCCAAGAAGAUUCUUUAUUUGUUUUAACAAACUAGAUUCAUCCAUGUUGUUUUAAGAUUCAUCCAUGUUGUUUGCAUACUGAAUAUUACUUCUAAAGAAACAUGUUACAUCCAUAAUUUUUGUUUUGGGCUAUUACACAAGAGACCGUUUUCACUGCACUGUUCUAUCCAGAUUUUUAUCGACUACAAUUUUGUACUAACCAACUCUACCUACAGAAACAAGACCUGCCUACAGUGAUGAACUUGCUUAAUAUAAAACACACGAGCCCUCCUCAUCCACCACCGAUGGAGGAUGGAUGGCAUAUAUGAUUCUCUAGGCACCUGUUAUGUACUAAUUGAAUUUUAAUUUCAGUAUACACUGUGUAAUGGUCAAAGGAGAAAACUUGAUGAAUGGAGAAUGUACAAAGAUCAAAGUAUGGCUAAAUGACCUUGCUGGAAGUGAAUGGGCAACAAAGACAUAUGCACAGGGAGAAAGGUUGAAACAAGCACAGAACGUAAACAGUUCACUUUCUACACUUGGUGAUGUCAUAUGCACUCUUUAGGUGGAGAUUCCAAAACUUUGAUGUUAGCAGAGUACGGAGCAUAGAGCUUGGACAGGCUAAAAAACAAGUCGAUGUUGGAGAAUUGUCAAGAUACAAGCUCAUGGUUGGGAGAGCCAAGUAGGAUAGCAAGAAUAAAAAUGCUCAUAAUAAGAGUAUGGAAGAAAGGAUACAAGCACUUGAAGUGAAGAAUAUGGCCAAAGACAUGCUCACUCUGAAUCUCCAAGAGAAAGCAAACCCAACCCAAUAUCUUGUCAUGGAACCAAACCCAAUAGAUACGCAAUCAGGAUUUAACAUUAGGCUAUCCAUCAUUAUAUAUGCAAUCAGGACCUACCAACAACUAACUAUGUGUGGUACACAUAAUAGAAGGUGUUGUUGUCUUAGAAUCGGUACACAUAAUUUUUUUGUCCUACAUGCAGCCUGGUGAUCGGGAGUUGACUGGAUGAAUGAACCACAGCUGUGUUUACAUUAAUGGUGGCCGUCAUGUUUGGUGCUUCUCCAGUUGCAGAGAAAUGUUUGGUCCUCCGGUUACAGUGAAGUGGUUCAGUAUGUAAUAUGACUGAUUUUCAUUGACUACUAGGGAGCAAGGCUUCCGUCCCCUAAUUUCAUGAUCAGUUUCCUAAGAACCGGUACUAAACUUAAGGAAAGAAAGCCCGGUCAACUGUUUUUGGUACCGGUUUUAACUGCUCAGAGCUUCAAUAUUGUAAUCGGUACUAAUGUCAAGGCU